GUCUAUGGCCAUGCCACCCUGAACAAGCCCAAUGUCUGAUCUCGGAAGCUAAGCAGGGUUGAGCCUGGUUAGUACUUGGAUGGGAGACCACCUAGGAAGACCAGGUGCUGUAGGCA
rnacentral:rRNA from 1 species